AGGACGAACGCUGGCGGCGUGCUUAACACAUGCAAGUCGAACGGAAAGGCCCUCUUUUGGGGGUGCUCGAGUGGCGAACGGGUGAGUAACACGUGGGUGAUCUGCCCUGCACUUCGGGAUAAGCUUGGGAAACUGGGUCUAAUACCGGAUAGGACUACAGGGCGCAUGUUUUGUGGUGGAAAGCUUUUGCGGUGUGGGAUGGGCCCGCGGCCUAUCAGCUUGUUGGUGGGGUGAUGGCCUACCAAGGCGACGACGGGUAGCCGG
rnacentral:rRNA from 1 species